rnacentral:rRNA from 1 species
UAACACAUGCAAGUCGAACGGACGAGAGGAGCUGCUCCUCAAGUAGUGGCGAACGGGUGAGUAACGCGUGAGCAACCUGCCUUUCAGAGGGGGACAACGGUUGGAAACGACCGCUAAUACCGCAUGAUGCUAUUUUGGUCGCAUGAUCGGGAUGCCAAAGAUUUAUCGCUGAAAGAUGGGCUCGCGUCUGAUUAGAUAGUUGGUGGGGUAACGGCCUACCAAGUCGACGAUCAGUAGCCGGACUGAGAGGUUGAACGGCCACAUUGGGACUGAGAUACGGCCCAGACUCCUACGGGAGGCAGCAGGUGGGGAAUAUUGGGCAAAGUGGGGGAAACCCUGACCCAGCAACGCCGCGUGAAGGAAGAAGGCUUUCGGGUUGUAAACUUCUUUACCAGGGACGAAGGACGUGACGGUACCUGGAGAAAAAGCCACGGCUAACUACGUGCCAGCCGCUGC